GUGAGUUGGGGGCCCAGGCCUCUGGUGCGUGCUUCCUGGUCCCAUUGGAUUCACUCACGAAACACAGUUUCAAACGUGAAAUUAUUAACAAUUUUAAGAUGGUGACUGUAAGCUUUAAACACCAAGUGCUAGGCCUGCUUCUGAGCACAGGGCCCUGUACAGCUACACUGGUCACACACAGGCCCGUGAAGCCAGGUGAGUGCCCGUGUGCGUGACGGGAAAUCAGGUAUCCAAUCUGGACAUGCUAAGUCUGAGAGGCUUACUGGCCAUUCAAAGCAAACUAUCAAAUAGGCAGAUGCUUAUAUGCUUGGAGCUCAAAGGGGGUCUCAGGCCUGAGGUUCAGAUUUGGGAAUCAUCGGCACAUAUUGGCCUUUGCAGUCAGGGGAGUAGGUGAGAUCACUUAGGCAAGAGGUAUGUUUGGGGAAGAGUGGAGGGUCUGGGAGUGAGCCUUUGGCCCCUCCACCAUUUCAAAGUUCAGCAGCCAGCGGGGAACCCAAGUUGAAGCGCUGCCAUUGAUAGCCAGGGAGACCACGUUCGUGUGGUCCCGGGGAUUAAAAGAAAGGAUGAACAGCAUGACAUCAGGUAAACUCUCCAGCCAAUCACUCUCAGUCUAUUUUUGGGGAACCUGAACUAAGACAGGAGGAACUCAGACACGCAAAUAUCCAUAGAAACCAUGGGAGAAGAGAGGCUUGGACAGAAAAAAGUGGUCAUAGACUUCAUUUUAUUUAAAAAAAAAUUUUUUUAAACUUUUUUUAGGGGGAGAGGAAAUUAGGUUUAUUUUUUUUUAUUUUGGUGGAGGCUGGGGAUUGAACCCAGGACCUCAUGCAUGCUAGGCAUGCAGUCUGCCACUGAGCUAAACCCUUCCCCUGGUCAUAGACUUUACAUAAGAGAAAUUGAAGAGGAGGAAAAGCAAGAAACAAUCUGGUGUGCUUAUUGAAACCUAUUAAGUGCCAGGUAUAGUGGAAGACCUUGACCUUGGCCUGUGUGUAUGUAUGCAUGUAUAUUUCCCCUGCCUUGUUCCAAGAUGGAUUUGAGGCUUGUGGUCCUGAAUUUGGUAUUUAGGAGGUCAUUGAGGUCCACAGGAAGAUGACUUGGGUAGAAUUAGGAUGGCAGAAGCCAAGUCAAGAAGAACAAUUUUGUGUUAUCCCUAAACACACUAAACACAUCUGAUACUUAGUGGGAACUUCAGCAAGUAUCUGUUGAAUUAAAUUGGAUUGAGGUGUGAGUGGUUGGGUUGAAGUGGAUGCAGUGAAUAAAAGAAGAACUUAUAUUUAUGUCUUGAGAAGGUUCUAGAAAGGCUGGGGAGGUUGGGGAGAAGUUUGGAGUGCGGUGUGGAGCAUAUCUGAAGAUGAGAAGAAGGAAUUGAGGAGGAAGAGAGAGGGCUAUGGUGGGGUGUUUGGAGCAGGACUGAGAGGUAGGCUGGUCAGGGGCGGUCAUAUGUUGUUGACUUUUUCAGGACAUCACAGCACAUUUUCAGGUCAGGGCAUCUGUAGAGAGGGAGGGAGACAGGAGGGGUUAGGGGCUGGAGGGAUGAAGAAGGGCUUUGGAAAGCCGCUCUGGAGAAGGGCUAGGGAAACUAGGAGAGCAAGGAGAAUGGCCCUGCUUGCAGCCUUGCUGUACCUCCUGAUGGAGCUAGGACAGGGCGGACACUGGAGGAAGCACCACGCCAGGUGGGGUGGUUUGUCUUCCUGAUCAUGGACUUCUGAGGCCAGGGUUACAACUCGAGUCUUACUUGGAACAAAGACCAUGUGAUGUAAUUUUAGGAACUGUAGGAAAGAUACAGCUCCCCCUCCCCAAAUCACCUUCACUUUCGGCACCCACUAGAAUUCCUACCAUUCUAGUGGACCACCAUGGCUCCUGAGUUCUUUCUCACUACUGUAGGAAAAGUUUGCCCUCAGAAAGUGAUGGCGAGGUAGGGAGGGUAUAGCUCAGUGGUGCAGUACGUGCUUAGCACAAGGUCCUGGAUUCAAUCCCCAGGACCUUCAUUAAAAGUAAAUAAAAAAGUAAACCUAAUUACCCCUCCCCCCCAAAAAAGAGAAAACGGUGAAUCUUGGUACUUUCUGUCUUGGCAUCCCUCACUCACGUUGGCAGGACUCAAACCCUCCGGGAAAGGGAGCCCACACUUGCCUGCUCUACUCUGUCUCUCUGUAUCUCUCUCUGUCUCUCUUUUUCUACUGUGAGCUCCUGGAGGGCAGGGACCAUACCAUAGACUUGCUGAGUAACUGGGACCUAUGGGGAGCUUAAUAAUUAUUUGCUCUAAAUAAAUAAAUGUGAAAUCAACCCACUGGGCAGGUAAGACACUUUCACAAGAAGCAACGCUGAAUGAUUUAUUUGACCUUUUUUGCACUGUCAGAUGUCACAGGUCAGAUGUCAUAUGUCAGAGAGAUUUCUGAAGACCCGAAGCAGCUGGAGAGGAGGGGGUGGAUCUGAACUUCUACUGAGGCCUCCUUUCUCCACUCAGCCCACUUUCUUUUGCCCUCAAAUGAGGUAGAGGCUGAAUGGCUUGAAACGCCUUGCCUUGGGCUUGCCCGGGGUACGAAUUUGCUUGGUGAAAGCAAGAGGGCCAGAGAGGAGAGAUUUCAGCUGAGGAUAACUCUGCUGGCUCGGAUGAUCCUGCAUCUCUGUGACUUGACAAGUACACUUCAGAGUCUGCCUUUGGACUUGCCCCUCCCUACCACCCCUCAUGUUUACUCUUAAUCCAUUUUUUUUAUCCCCUCAAAGUACUUUACUCAUUUUUUCUGACUCUUGGGAGCUUCUUGGGAGUUGCAGACAGUGAGGUUUCAGCCAUAAUUAUCCACUAGAAGGGACUGUGAACCGCUUGAUGUGAUCUGAUCUCCCUCACCCUCCUUCUCUAUCUCCCUCCCUCUCCUCAAGUCCACCCUACUUUUUAAAUAAAGAAAGAGAUACGUA